GGGAGGGGCAGAUCAGGUCCUAACGCAUGCAGCUCCAGGCCUAACACAUGCGAGUCCAGGCCUAACACAUGCCAGUCCAGGCCUAACACAUGUCGGUCCCUAACCUAGCACAUGCCAGUCCGACCCAAGUGGGGGACCUUCCGGCCUCAUGCCAUCACAUGUGCCCAGAUGGGAUUAGCUAGUAGGUGGGGUAACGGCUCACCUAGGCGACGAUCCCUAGCUGGUCUGAGAGGAUGACCAGCCACACUGGAACUGAGACACGGUCCAGACUCCUACGGGAGGCAGCAGUGGGGAAUAUUGCACAAUGGGCGCAAGCCUGAUGCAGCCAUGCCGCGUGUGUGAAGAAGGCCUUCGGGUUGUAAAGCACUUUCAGCGGGGAGGAAGGCGAUGAGGUUAAUAACCUUGUCGAUUGACGUUUACCCGGCCAGAAAGANGCCACNGGCCUAACUUCCGUGCCAGCAGCCGCGGUAAUACGGAAGGNUGCAAGCGUNAAUCGGAAUUACUGGGCGUAAAGCGCACGCAGGCGGUCUGUCAAGUCGGAUGUGAAAUCCCCCGGGCUCAACCUGGGAACUGCAUUCGAAACUGGCAGGCUAGAGUCUUGUAGAGGGGGGUAGAAUUCCAGGUGUAGCGGUNAAAUGCGUAGAGAUCUGGAGGAAUACCGGUGGCGAAGGCNNCCCCCUGNACAAAGACUGACGCUCCNGGUGCGAAAAGCGUGGGGANCAAACNGGAUUAGAUACCCUGGUAGUCCACGCCGUAAACGAUGUCGAUUUGGAGGUUGUGCCCUUGAGGCGUGGCUUCCGGAGCUAACGCGUUAAAUCGACCGCCUGGGGAGUACGGCCGCAAGGUUAAAACUCAAAUGAAUUGACGGGGGCCCGCACAAGCGGUGGAGCAUGUGGUUUAAUUCGAUGCAACGCGAAGAACCUUACCUGGUCUUGACAUCCACAGAACUUUCCAGAGAUGGAUUGGUGCCUUCGGGAACUGUGAGACAGGUGCUGCAUGGCUGUCGUCAGCUCGUGUUGUGAAAUGUUGGGUUAAGUCCCGCAACGAGCGCAACCCUUAUCCUUUGUUGCCAGCGGUUCGGCCGGGAACUCAAAGGAGACUGCCAGUGAUAAACUGGAGGAAGGUGGGGAUGACGUCAAGUCAUCAUGGCCCUUACGACCAGGGCUACACACGUGCUACAAUGGCAUAUACAAAGAGAAGCGACCUCGCGAGAGCAAGCGGACCUCAUAAAGUAUGUCGUAGUCCGGAUUGGAGUCUGCAACUCGACUCCAUGAAGUCGGACUCGCUAGUAAUCAGUAGAUUCAGAACGGUCACGGGUGUGG
rnacentral:rRNA from 1 species